UCUUAAUAUGCUUUGCAAGUAAAUGGUCCAGUUGUCACAGUGGUAAACCAAUAUACAUUUUAAGGUAAAAUGCUCUCUAUGAGAAAAGUGCAAGCUGAUAGUUGAAACUGCAUUUCAUAUUAAAUACAUUUACAUUAACUGUUACUUAUCCAUACUGAAAUUUAGUUUCUUGCAGACAUUAAUGAAGAAGUGGAAGGAAACUUCUUUUUGUAGCAGCCUUUCAGGAAGCUCUGCAUCUGUAAAUGAUUUAGGUAAUUUGUUUUCUGUUCUGCAUCUGUAGCUGAACCCUUUCAAAAAAGCAAAAGUUUCACUGGCUAUAAAUGGACUUUUUUCUAAGUGAGGUGACUCCACACACCUGGACUGCAAAAGGGCCAAAAGGCAGAGCACCAGUGUGGCCAAAGGAAGAUGAUUGCCUGCAAACUGACUGCAAUGAGCCCAACAUGGAGGGAGCAGCUCCUCUUUGCCAGGAGGGCAGUGUCUUCAUUCUUGACAGUUCCUAGCCAUUGAUUUAGGUCCUUAUUGAAGUGUUUAAUUUCAAUUUGAGGGGAAAAAAUGAAAAACUUGAAACACCCUUAAAUUCAUGAAUCUGUUCAACUU
rnacentral:lncRNA from 1 species